rnacentral:tRNA from 1 species
GGAGAGGUGCUGGAGUGGUCUAACAGGCACGCCUGGAGAGCGUGUGUAGUCGUAAGACUACCGCGGGUUCGAAUCCCGCCCUCUCCGCCA